rnacentral:rRNA from 1 species
GAUGAACGCUGGCGGCGUGCCUAAUACAUGCAAGUCGAGCGAACAGACUAGGAGCUUGCUCCUCUGACGUUAGCGGCGGACGGGUGAGUAACACGUGGAUAACCUACCUAUAAGACUGGGAUAACUUCGGGAAACCGGAGCUAAUACCGGAUAAUAUAUUGAACCGCAUGGUUCAAUAGUGAAAGACGGUUUUGCUGUCACUUAUAGAUGUAUCCGCGCCGCAUUAGCUAGUUGGUAAGGUAACGGCUUACCAAGGCAACGAUGCGUAGCCGACCUGAGAGGGUGCUCGGCCACACUGGAACUGAGACACGGGCCAGCCUCCUACGGGACGCAGCAGUAGGGAAUCUUGCGCAAUGGGCGGAAGACUGACGGAGCAACGCCGCGUGAGUGAUGAAGGUCUUCGGAUCGUAAAACUCUGUUAUUAGGGAGGAACACAUGUGUAAGUAGCUAUGCACGUCUUGACGGUACCUAAUCAGAAAGCCACGGCUAACUCCGUG